rnacentral:rRNA from 1 species
CCUACGGGAGGCAGCAGUGAGGAAUAUUGGUCAAUGGACGCAAGUCUGAACCAGCCAUGCCGCGUGAAGGAAGACUGCCCUAUGGGUUGUAAACUUCUUUUUUAUGGGGAUAAAACCGGGUAUGCUUACCCGAUUGUAUGUACCUUAGGAAUAAGGAUCGGCUAACUCCGUGCCAGCAGCCGCGGUAAUACGGAGGAUCCAAGCGUUAUCCGGAUUUAUUGGGUUUAAAGGGAGCGUAGGUGGUUUGUUAAGUAAGUGGUGAAAGCUCGCGGCUCAACGGGAGAAGUGCAUUUGAUACUGGCAGGCUUGAGUGCAGUUGAGGUGGGCGGAAUGUGUGGUGUAGCGGUGAAAUGCAUAGAUAUCACACAGAACACCGAUUGCGAAGGCAGCUCACGAAACUGCGACUGACGCUGAUGCACGAAAGCGUGGGUAUCAAACAGGAUUAGAUACCCUGGUAGUC